rnacentral:snRNA from 13 species
UCACUCAUCUGGCUCCGGGACCAGGUUGAUCACGGACGCUCUGGCUCGAGGCAGAGGUUCGCCCUUGCACUCUGGUGGAUUGAAGCCUGCGACGAUCUCUAAUCGAGCUCGGACGCGUAGUUUUGGCCACUAGGGAGGUCUUCAUAUCAUCCCUU